AAUGUCGUAACAAGGUUUCCGUAGGUGAACCUGCGGAAGGAUCAUUACAGAGAACCUGCCUCGGGCUAGAUCUCCCACCCUUUGCUUACCUCACUUUGUUGCUUUGGGCAGGCCCGUCCCCCAGGGAACCGCCGGCUCCGGCUGGCCAAGCGCCUGUCAGAGGCAUCCCCCGAAGCUCUUGCUUAAUUUGGUCGUCUGAGUACUAUAUAAUAAGUAAAC
rnacentral:misc_RNA from 1 species